GACGAACGCUGGCGGCGUGCCUAAUACAUGCAAGUUGAGCGCUGAAGGUUGGUACUUGUACCAACUGGAUGAGCAGCGAACGGGUGAGUAACGCGUGGGGAAUCUGCCUUUGAGCGGGGGACAACAUUUGGAAACGAAUGCUAAUACCGCAUAAAAACUUUAAACACAAGUUUUAAGUUUGAAAGAUGCAAUUGCAUCACUCAAAGAUGAUCCCGCGUUGUAUUAGCUAGUUGGUGAGGUAAAGGCUCACCAAGGCGAUGAUACAUAGCCGACCUGAGAGGGUGAUCGGCCACAUUGGGACUGAGACACGGCCCAAACUCCUACGGGAGGCAGCAGUAGGGAAUCUUCGGCAAUGGACGAAAGUCUGACCGAGCAACGCCGCGUGAGUGAAGAAGGUUUUCGGAUCGCAAAACUCGGUUGGUAGAGAAGAACGUUGGUGAGAGUGGAAAGCUCAUCAAGUGACGGUAACUACCCAGAAAGGGACGGCUAACUACGUG
rnacentral:rRNA from 1 species